GAUGUAAAAACUAUGCUUUCUAAAUGUGAAAGGAAAAAAAAAAUCUUUAGCAGAGAUAAAAGUGCAUUGGCCAUUCUAAUCUCAAUACCAGAGGACUCAUACUUAAGAGUUUCCUACGACUUAUACAGAUUCCCUUUUCCUCUGAGGAGUGUAAUUAUGAGAAUCAGGAAUAAUAUUUUCAAAUUGUCACAUAAAUAUUUCUGACAUUCCACACUCUAUGGAUUUUGUACACACACAACUCUGACCUUCUUCUGGACUUUAGGAUCAUACUUCCAAGGAGGCUAGGGAGAAGAUGAAUUGAUAAAUAUGUAAAGCAGUGAACAGUUCAUUGGGGAUGCACGUUUUCAUAAAAGGACACAUCCCUUCUCCUUACAUUAUGUUCUGGAGGAUGAGACAUGGGAACAUCCUAGCCCAGCUAUCACCUGACUGCAAUGGUAUGACAGACUUCAAGUGAAACCAGAAGAACUGCCCAGGUGAGCCCCAGUCAAUCCAUAGAAUCAUGAGAAAUAAUAAAAUUAAUAGCUAUUGUCUUAUAUCAUUUUAGGGUGAUUUGUUAUGUAGCAAUAACCAAAAUAGUCAAUCAUGUUA